rnacentral:rRNA from 1 species
AGGCUGAAACUCGCCUAUAUGAAGUCGGAAUUGCUAGUAAUCGCAGAUCAGCAUGCUGCGGUGAAUACGUUCCCGGGCCUUGUACACACCGCCCGUCACACCAUGAGAGUCGAUAACACCCGAAGCCUGUAGUCUAACCAUAAGGAGGACGCAGUCGAAGGUGGGAUUGAUAAUUAGGGUGAAGUCGUAACAAGGUAGC